rnacentral:rRNA from 1 species
AGAGUUUGAUCCUGGCUCAGGAUGAACGCUGGCGGUCUGCUUAACACAUGCAAGUCGAACGAGGGUCUUCGGACCCGAGUGGCGGACGGGUGAGUAACGCGUGAGGAUCUAGCCUCAGGAUGGGGACAACGACUGGAAACGGUCGCUAAUACCCGAUGUGCCUACGGGUGAAAGAUUUAUCGCCUGAGGAUGAACUCGCGUCUGAUUAGCUAGUUGGCGGGGUAAGAGCCCACCAAGGCGACGAUCAGUAGCUGGUCUGAGAGGAUGAUCAGCCACACUGGGACUGAGACACGGCCCAGACUCCUACGGGAGGCAGCAGUGGGGAAUUUUCCGCAAUGGGCGCAAGCCUGACGGAGCAAGACCGCGUGCGGGAGGACGGCUCUUGGGUUGUAAACCGCUUUUAUCAGGGAAGAAGAUCUGACGGUACCUGAUGAAUCAGCAUCGGCUAACUCCGUGCCAGCCGCCGCGGUAAUAC